ACAAUCUUGAUAAAAUGCCAGGCCAACCAGUCUUUUGCAUCAGUUGAAAUUGGUUGGUAUUGUUGUUGCUACUUCUGUUUACAGUAGCAGGAAAUCAUGCUUCUGUAUGCUGUUUGCUGUUGUUCUAAACAAAACCAUGUCUUGCAACUUUUGGGUUUUUGACAGAUUGUGUGUAAAAAUGCCAAGAUGAGCUUGAGAGAAUGAGA
rnacentral:lncRNA from 1 species